GACGAACGCUGGCGGCGUGCUUAACACAUGCAAGUCGAACGGAAAGGCCCUGCUUUUGUGGGGUGCUCGAGUGGCGAACGGGUGAGUAACACGUGAGUAACCUGCCCCUGACUUUGGGAUAACUUCAGGGAACUGGGGCUAAUACCGGAUAGGAUCUCCUGCUCCAUGUUGGGGGUUGGAAAGAUUCGGCGGUUGGGGAUGGACUCGCGGCUUAUGCGCUUGUUGGUGGGGUAGUGGCUUACCAAGGCUUUGACGGGUAGCCGGCCUAGGAGGGUUACCGGCCACCUUGGGACUGAGAUACGGCCCAGACUCCUACGGGAGGCAGCAGUGGGGAAUAUUGCACAAUGGGCGGAAGCCUGAUGCAGCAACGCCGCGUGCGUGAUGCCGGCCUUCGGGUUGUAAACCGCUUUGGACUGUGACGAAGCGUGAGUGACGGUAAUGGGUAAAGAAGCACCGGCUAACUACGUG
rnacentral:rRNA from 1 species